rnacentral:rRNA from 1 species
GACAGAGGGUGCAAACGUUGCUCGGAAUCACUGGGCGUAAAGAGCGUGUAGGCGGCUUGGUAAGUCCGCUGUGAAAGUCCAGGGCUCAACCCUGGAAUGCCGGUGGAAACUGUCAAGCUUGAGUCCGGAAGAGGCGAGUGGAAUUCCUGGUGUAGCGGUGAAAUGCGCAGAUAUCAGGAGGAACACCAAUGGCGAAGGCAGCUCGCUGGGACGGUAGCUGACGCUGAGACGCGAAAGCGUGGGGAGCAAACAGG